rnacentral:misc_RNA from 1 species
GAUGAAGAACGCAGCGAAAUGCGAUAAGUAAUGUGAAUUGCAGAAUUCAGUGAAUCAUCGAAUCUUUGAACGCACAUUGCGCCCGCCAGUAUUCUGGCGGGCAUGCCUGUCUGAGCGUCAUUUCAACCCUCAUGCCCCUAGGGCGUGGUGUUGGGGAUCGGCCAAAGCCCGCGAGGGACGGCCGGCCCCUAAAUCUAGUGGCGGACCCGUCGUGGCCUCCUCUGCGAAGUAGUGAUAUUCCGCAUCGGAGAGCGAUGAGCCCCUGCCGUUAAACCCCCAACUUUCCAAGGUUGACCUCAGAUCAGGUAGGAAUACCCGCUGAACUUAAGCAUACAAUAAGCGGAGGA